UCUCUUAAAGCCGUUCUCAGUUCGGAUUGUAGGCUGCAACUCGCCUACAUGAAGUCGGAAUCGCUAGUAAUCGCGGAUCAGCAUGCCGCGGUGAAUACGUUCCCGGGCCUUGUACACACCGCCCGUCACACCAUGAGAGUUUGUAACACCCAAAGCCGGUGGGGUAACCUUUUGGAGCCAGCCGUCUAAGGUGGGACAGAUGAUUGGGGUGAAGUCGUAACAAGGUAAC
rnacentral:rRNA from 1 species